rnacentral:rRNA from 1 species
UACGGAGGGUGCAAACGUUGCUCGGAAUCAUUGGGCGUAAAGCGCACGUAGGCGGACCGCUAAGUCGGAUGUGAAAGCCCUCGGCUUAACCGGGGAAGUGCAUUCGAAACUGACAGUCUUGAGUAUGGAAGAGGGUCGCGGAAUUCCCGGUGUAGAGGUGAAAUUCGUAGAUAUCGGGAGGAACACCAGUGGCGAAGGCGGCGACCUGGGCCAAUACUGACGCUGAGGUGCGAAAGCGUGGGGAGCAAACAGG